GUGCACCAGGCGCGAAACCUCUACAAUGUGCGAAAGCAUGAUAGGGGGACUCCAAGUGUCUCUCUAAAGAGAGACUUUUGUAGUAUGUAAAAGUACUACGAAUAAGGGGUGGUCAAGACUAGUGCCAGCCUCCGCGGUAACACUAGCAGCCCGAGUGGUAGUCAUUUUUAUUUGGCUUAAAGCGUCCGUAGUCUGAUUAGUAAGUUCUCUGUGAAAUCCUGUUGCUUAACAAUAGGGCUUGCAGAGAAUACUACCAAUCUUGGAGCCAGGAGGGGUUAGGGGUAUUCCGGGGGUAGCGGUGAAAUGCUAUAAUCCCCGGAGGACCACCAAUGGCGAAGGCACCUAACUGGAAUGGGCUCGACGAUGAGGGACGAAAGCUAGGGGAGCAAA
rnacentral:rRNA from 1 species